rnacentral:lncRNA from 1 species
UCAUCAUCACCAGCUCAUGCGCACUCCCUACUCGCACAUGGCUGGGUCAUCACCGGGUUAUGCGCACUCCCUACUCGCACAUAACCGGGUCAUCACCGGGUUAUGCGCACUCCCUACUCGCACAUAACCGGGUCAUCCUCGGCUUAUGCACACUCCCUACUCGCACAUAGCCGAGUCAACAUAAUUACACAACAUUAUAUUCAAGCAUAUAUGUAUAUCAACAUAAUGCAGCCACAUAGAAAUCCAUAAUAACCACAUUUCAUAACAUAAACCUUUUCUCAAAAGCUUGUUCCCAAGGCAUUCAUUUUCAUGAAAAAUUGCAUAAAAUCAUUCAAACACUUUGUU